rnacentral:rRNA from 1 species
UGAUUAUAAACUAAUGUAUAAUUUACCAGAGUACUAUGAACACACAGUUUAAAACUCAAAGGGCUUGGCGGUGCUUUAGACUAUUCAGGGGAACCUGUCUCGUAAUCGAUAGUCCACGAUACACCUAACCUUUUUUAGUUAUCAGUAUGUAUACCGUCGUCGUCAGGUAACUUUUAAAAAUAAAGAAGUUAGCGAUAAAAAUUAUGAUAAUUUUGUACGUCAGAUCAAGGUGCAGCUUAUAAAAAGGUGAGGAUGGGUUACAAUUAAGAUUUAUAAUAACGGAAGAAAGCUUGAUACAGCUUUUAAUG